GACGAACGCUGGCGGCGUGCCUAACACAUGCAAGUCGAACGGAGUAAUUUCUUCGGAGAUUACUUAGUGGCGAACGGGUGAGUAACGCGUGAGAAACCUGCCUUCCAGUGGGGGACAACAGUUGGAAACGACUGCUAAUACCGCAUAAUGUUAUUUGGGGGCAUCCCUGAAUAACCAAAGCUUUAUGUGCUGAAAGAUGGUCUCGCGUCUGAUUAGCUAGAUGGCGGGGUAACGGCACACCAUGGCGACGAUCAGUAGCCGGUCUGAGAGGAUGAACGGACACAUGGGGACUGAGAGACGGCCCAGACUCCUACGGGAGGCAGCAGUGGGGAAUAUUGGGCAAUGGGGGAAACCCUGACCCAGCAACGCCGCGUGAAGGAAGAAGGCCUUCGGGUUGUAAACUUCUUUUACCAGGGACGAAGAACGUGACGGUACCUGGAGAAAAAGCAACGGCUAACUACGUGCCAGCCGCCGCCGUAAGAC
rnacentral:rRNA from 1 species